UUAUAAUCAUUCUAAUAACUGUUAAUUAUUUAAAAUUUUAUAAUCAUCCUAACUAUCAAUUAUUUAAAAUUGUUACAAUGAUUCUAGAGUAUUAAUUAUUCAGAAUUGCUAUAAUAAUUCUGUGACUAUUAAUUCUUCAGCUUUGCUGUCAUCCUUCUAAUAUCUACUAAUUGUUUGAACUCCGUGUUGUUGAGCGUGGGAAGCCCCGUGGAGGGGCCGCGUCUCCCGUGUGAUUUCGCAUCGUUUCCGCGCAGGAAGGAACGUUUGUUGACUGACUUAGGGUGGAAGAGAUGUUUGUUGACUGACUCCGGGAGGAAGUGGAUGGAAUGGGGGUGGCGGGGGAGCAGACGGGGUGUUUGCAGCUGCGAUGAAGGGGAGGAUGGAGAGGAAGGCUUCCUGGAGGAGGCGGCCCUGAAUCAAGGAUGGAGAGGAGGGCUUCCUGGAGGAGGCGGCCCUGAAUCAAGGAUGGAGAGG